UAGGGAGUGGAUUGGAAAAUAAUGUG
rnacentral:piRNA from 1 species